rnacentral:rRNA from 1 species
AGUCUGACGGAGCGACGCCGCGUGAGCGAAGAAGGCCUUCGGGUCGUAAAGCUCUGUUGUGAGGGACGAAGGAGCGCCGUUUGAACAAGGCGGCGCGGUGACGGUACCUCACGAGAAAGCCCCGGCUAACUACGUGCCAGCAGCCGCGGUAAUACGUAGGGGGCGAGCGUUGUCCGGAAUUAUUGGGCGUAAAGCGCGCGCAGGCGGUUCCUUAAGUCUGAUGUGAAAGCCCACGGCUCAACCGUGGAGGGUCAUUGGAAACUGGGGGACUUGAGUGCAGGAGAGGAGAGCGGAAUUCCACGUGUAGCGGUGAAAUGCGUAGAGAUGUGGAGGAACACCAGUGGCGAAGGCGGCUCUCUGGCCUGUAACUGACGCUGAGGCGCGAAAGCGUGGGGAGCAAACAGGAUUAGAUACCCUGGUAGUCCACGCCGUAAACGAUGAGUGCUAAGUGUUAGAGGGGUCACACCCUUUAGUGCUGCAGCUAACGCGAUAAGCACUCCGCCUGGG